GUGAAUCAUCGAAUCUUUGAACGCACCUUGCACCCCUUGGUAUUCCGAGGGGUACACCCGUUUGAGUGUCGUGUUAUCCUCAACCUUCUUGGUUUCUUGAUCAAGAAGGCUUGGAAUUUGGAGGCUUUUGCUGGCUUUCUCUGAAAGCCAGCUCCUCUUAAAUGAAUUAGUAGGGUCUACUUUGCUGAUCCUUGACGUGCUAAGAUACUUUCUACGUCUUGUGUUUUUGCAAACCUGCUUCUAACUCAUACAUAUAUAUAAACCCUUGACCUCAAAUCGGGUGAGACUACCCGCUGAACUUAAGCAUAUCAAUAAGCGGAGG
rnacentral:rRNA from 1 species